GGAAUGACAGGAGUGGUAAAUCCUUCGUUGGUGGAAGUGUAAUGAGGUAAUGCCAGAUGAACCAGAGCCAACGAGAAGAAAGAAAUCACAGUUUGGGAAGGGCCAGACCAUCCAUAACAAGGCAGAAAGAAGCCAUAGAGGUGGUGGAAAGGUGCCUGACAUCUGUGUGCCCACCCAAUGUGAGGAGAGAGGCCUGGUGUUGACAGAAGAAGACCGGAACUUCUCUUAAGGGAUGCUGAGAUAUCCACAUCCCACCAAAUGAGUAGCUAUCACUCUGUUCCAUGCUGUCUUUGGAGAAGCAGUCAGAUGUGGAAUUCUGAGGAAGAUAGGACUCACAUGAAGCAGCAUAAUGGAUGUCUCCUGCCACCAGCCCAGAGGCAGACACCUCGGCAUGUCCAGCCCUUCCAGACAUAAACAUCCCUGGAGUUGCCCAUCCAAUCCUCCAGGGCCAAAGGGGCUCCACUGACAAACAGACUCCCCUACCACCCCACUAGCUGUGGACCUGGGAGUAUAGUGAGAUGUAAUGGGAAGGAAAAAGAUUAAAGGCACCUUGGAUG